UACGGAGGGGGCUAGCGUUGUUCGGAAUUACUGGGCGUAAAGCGCACGUAGGCGGCUUGGUAAGUUAGAGGUGAAAGCCUGGAGCUCAACUCCAGAAUUGCCUUUAAGACUGCCGAGCUAGCAGGUGAGAGAGGUGAGUGGAAUUCCGAGUGUAGAGGUGAAAUUCGUAGAUAUUAGGAAGAACACCAGUGGCGAAGGCGGCUCACUGGUCCGGUACUGACGCUGAGGUGCGAAAGCGUGGGGAGCAAACAGG
rnacentral:rRNA from 1 species